rnacentral:rRNA from 1 species
CGGGUGAGUAACACGUGAGUAACCUGCCCUUGACUCUGGGAUAAGCGUUGGAAACGACGUCUAAUACCGGAUACGAGCUUCAGCCGCAUGGCUAGGAGCUGGAAAGAAUUUCGGUCAAGGAUGGACUCGCGGCCUAUCAGCUAGUUGGUGAGGUAAUGGCUCACCAAGGCGACGACGGGUAGCCGGCCUGAGAGGGUGACCGGCCACACUGGAACUGAGACACGGUCCAGACUCCUACGGGAGGCAGCAGUGGGGAAUAUUGCACAAUGGGCGAAAGCCUGAUGCAGCAACGCCGCGUGAGGGACGACGGCCUUCGGGUUGUAAACCUCUUUUAGCAGGGAAGAAGCGAAAGUGACGGUACCUGCAGAAAAAGCACCGGCUAACUACGUGCCAGCAGCCGCGGUAAUACGUAGGGUGCAAGCGUUGUCCGGAAUUAUUGGGCGUAAAGAGCUCGUAGGCGGUUUGUCGCGUCUGCUGUGAAAUCCCGAGGCUCAACCUCGGGUCUGCAGUGGGUACGGGCAGACUAGAGUGCGGUAGGGGAGAUUGGAAUUCCUGGUGUAGCGGUGGAAUGCGCAGAUAUCAGGAGGAACACCGAUGGCGAAGGCAGAUCUCUGGGCCGUAACUGACGCUGAGGAGCGAAAGGGUGGGGAGCAAACAGGCUUAGAUACCCUGGUAGUCCACCCCGUAAACGUUGGGCGCUAGAUGUGGGGACCAUUCCACGGUUUCCGUGUCGUAGCUAACGCAUUAAGCGCCCCGCCUGGGGAGUACGGCCGCAAGGCUAAAACUCAAAGGAAUUGACGGGGGCCCGCACAAGCGGCGGAGCAUGCGGAUUAUUUCGAUGCAACGCGAAGAACCUUACCAAGGCUUGACAUAUACGAGAACGGGCCAGAAAUGGUCAACUCUUUGGACACUCGUAAACAGGUGGUGCAUGGUUGUCGUCAGCUCGUGUCGUGAGAUGUUGGGUUAAGUCCCGCAACGAGCGC